rnacentral:rRNA from 1 species
AUACGGAGGGUGCGAGCGUUAAUCGGAAUCACUGGGCGUAAAGCGCGCGCAGGCGGCUUAUUAAGUCAGAUGUGAAAUCCCCGGGCUCAACCUGGGAACUGCAUCUGAUACUGGUAAGCUAGAGUUUUGGAGAGGGAAGUAGAAUUUCAGGUGUAGCGGUGAAAUGCAUAGAGAUCUGAAGGAAUACCAGUGGCGAAGGCGACUUCCUGGCCAAAAACUGACGCUGAGGUGCGAAAGCGUGGGUAGCAAACGGGAUUAGAAACCCUAGUAGUCC